GAUUUACUUAAUAUUUAGUGUUAACGUAGUAAAGUUAUAUUUUUAAUAUUAAGUGGUAAUGAAAUGUUUUUCGUUUUUUAUGAUAGCUAGUUUAUAGGUGUGGAAUAUUUUAGUAUUGUGAUAUUAAUAUAGUUUAAAUUAUUUUAAUAUUAUUUAUUUUAUAAGGGAUAAGCUUUAUAAAAGGAAAUAGAAUAUUUAUAUAUUAUUUUGUGUUUUUAAGUAGAAUUAAAAUUGUUUUUCUUAUAAAUAUAGUAUAAAUUGUUUAUAUAUGUAUUAUUCAGAUUGAUAAACUUAUAAAUGUUUAAUAAUUAAUAAUAAAUAAAUAUAAUGUUAGUAUGAGUAUUAAAAAGUAAUUAAAUAUUAUAAUUUAUUUGAGUUGUAUAUUUUUAUAAUAUUAUUUUUAGUGAAGUAAAAUAAAGGAAUUUGGCAAAUAUAAAUCUCGCCUGUUUAUCAAAAACAUGUCUCUUUGUAUUUAAUAAAUAAAGAG
rnacentral:rRNA from 1 species